AUGAUAGAACAAUCAGACCAAAAGCAAAAGAGAGGUAAGGGGACAUGUUUGACAGCGGACACCAUUUCAGUUGCCUUCUUGGUUCAAUUUGUGUCUCAGCGAUGUUUCCUAGAGUCUCUAUGGUUCCUAUCUCUUCGCCCCCUUUCCCGCCACCCUUUGUUCUCUGGAAGCCCGGAGACAUCAGCCGCUGCGAUUGUGCUACUGGCUGCUCGGCACGGAAGGGUCAGGACAGAAAAAUAAAUCCAAAGAUAUUUUGGCACUAACAGCAUGAUCCGUACCAAGAAAGAUGAGCAGUCAGUUCGAACUGAUGAGACUUCCAAGGAGACUUCAGAGAGUCAAGACAGUGAAAAGGAAAAUACGAGAAAGACUUGUUAAGCAUUAGUAAGGGCGUGAAAGUUGAAUUAAGCACAGUAAAUGUACAAACAACAAAGCCUCCCAACAGAAGACCACUUAAAAGUUUGGCAGCUACACUUGGCAGGCUUCAAAGAGCUACAGAACAUGCUCCAAAGAAGAUAAUUGAGCCCCUGAGUCUUGAGCUGGUGGCUGCUGCAUCUGCUGUGGCAGAUUCUCUCCCUUUUGACAAGCAAACAAUCAAGUCAAGCUGCUGAGGCUGUUCCAGCAGCAUGACGAAGAGUCAAGGGCACAGAGAGGUGCAGAGAGACCUAAAGUUAGUUUCAGUAACAUAAUAUAGAUAUGAAAGUUGCCAGAUCUGCUACAACUAGAGUUCGUUCAAGACCAGAGCAUCAGAUUCAGUUUGACGAAGGCUAUGACAAUUAUCCUGGCCAAGGAGAAGACCACUGAUCUUAGAAAAAGAUGUAGGAAAAAUAUAUUGGAGGGGAAAAAACUUAAUAUUUUUGACAUGACAGCAGUUACUAAUUAAGCACCCGAAACAGACACAUGACCUUCACUUUGGGAUGUGGAAUUUGCUAAGCAGUUAGCCACAGUAAAUGAACAACCCCUUCAGAAUGUGUUUGAAAAGCCGAUCCAGUGGACAAAGGAGGGGAAACUGUGGGAGCUCCCAAUUAACAAUGAAGCAGGUUUUGAUGAUGGUUGUUCAGAAUUUCAUGAACAUAUGUUUCUGGAGGAACACUUGAAGGGCUUUCCAAAAUAAGGACCAAUAUGCCACUUCAUGGAGCUGA